AUUGGUUUUGGUUCUCGCCGACAGAUUAAAAGGGAAUGCCGUGCGAAUCGGCAACAGACCCGCUGCUGUGAGUUUCGCCAAAGGGCUUUUUACUAUUGUUCCACUGAUUUUUAUAAAAAACGGGAAGGAUAAAAAGCCGAAACAAGUCAGAAGACCUGCCCAAACC
rnacentral:ncRNA from 1 species